GGGAAGGAGAGAUUGCCAAGAAUGGCUGCAGACCUGAGUCACUCGCCUUCUUCCACCUGAGAAGCGAGGGUCCAGGAAGGCUCUGGAUUCUGGGCAGUGGAGCCCAGGGGAGGAGGCAUUCCGUCUAUCAGGUUCCUGUGUAGAGUGAACAUGUGGUUCCCCAUUUAAAGUGAAAGCUUUCUUUUGAUGAGAAAAACCACGUGCACCUUUUAAGAGUAUGAUCGAGCUGGGUGGAGCCAAGAUGGCCGAAUAGGAACAGCUCCAGUCUACAGCUCCCAGCAUGAGCGUCACAGAAGAUGGGUGAUUUCUGCAUUUCCAACUGAGAUAUAGUUAAGAAGAAGACUCUGAGUGUUCAGAAGUGGAGUUGAAAAUGUCAGGAUCCAAAAACAUAGAAAGAGAAGACAUAAGGACUCCAGUGAAGCAAAUUUCUUAGAAUAAUGCAAGUAACCCCUGAGGACAAGCUUACUUCUCCAACCAGGGAGGUUAUAAAGGAUAAUCAUGGCAGAAGAAAACAUUUCUCUUUAACGAAUGGUUGAUUUAGCAAGUUCCUUUUUGAGUUGGACUACAGCUACUCUUGGCAUUUCUGGUCAAGCAGGCCAUCAUAAGGCUAAUCAAAUUUGCCUAAGUGUCUGCCAAGCAGACUGGACUUGGUCUUAUUUGUUAGCGUAUAUUACUAGCACUUCACUGCUAAGGAUGAAAGGCCUUUCUGACACCAGUAAUAUUUACAAACAAAUGAACUGUCAGGAAAUAUUGGAGAUUAGGCAUUAAGCUACCUUCAAAAUGACCUCUGAUCCUCGUUAACCUAAAUAUGGUAAUGCCUUCCAUACCAUGUUACUGUAUGUUUUAUGAAGUGAGUAAAUGUCAUGCAUUUUCUAAUUCCA
rnacentral:lncRNA from 1 species